rnacentral:rRNA from 1 species
AUUGAACGCUGGCGGCAGGCCUAACACAUGCAAGUCGAACGAGUCGCGGACGGGUUAGUACUGUCUGGGAAACUGCCUGUUGGAGGGGUAUAUCUACUGGUAACAGUAGCUAAUACCGCAUACCAUCGGCUUUGUCCAGAUGGGAUUAGCUAGUAGGUGGGGUAAAGGCUCACCCAGGCGACGAUCCCUAGUUGGUCUGAGAGGAUGACCAGCCACACUGGGACUGAGACACGGUCCAGACUCCGACGGGAGGCAGCAGUGGGGAAUAGUGCACAAUGGGGGCAAGCUUGAUGCAGCCAUGCCGCGUGUAUGAAGAAGGCCUUCGGGUUGUAAAGUACUUUCAGCGGGGAGGCGGUACCCGCAGAAGAAGCACCGGCUAACUCCGUGCCAGCAGCCGCGGUAAUUC